rnacentral:rRNA from 1 species
UACGUAGGUGGCAAGCGUUGUCCGGAUUUACUGGGCGUAAAGGGAGCGUAGGUGGAUAUUUAAGUGGGAUGUGAAAUACCCGGGCUUAACCUGGGUGCUGCAUUCCAAACUGGAUAUCUAGAGUGCAGGAGAGGAAAGGAGAAUUCCAGGUGUAGCGGUGAAAUGCGUAGAGAUCUGGAGGAAUACCGGUGGCGAAGGCGGCCCCCUGGACAAAGACUGACGCUCAGGUGCGAAAGCGUGGGGAGCAAACAGGAUUAGAUACCCUGGUAGUCCACGCUGUAAACGAUGAAUACUAGGUGUAGGGGUUGUCAUGACCUCUGUGCCGCCGCUAACGCAUUAAGUAUUCCGCCUGGGGAGUACGGUCGCAAGAUUAAA